rnacentral:rRNA from 1 species
GAUGAACGCUGGCGGCGUGCCUAAUACAUGCAAGUCGAGCGAACAGACGAGGAGCUUGCUCCUCUGACGUUAGCGGCGGACGGGUGAGUAACACGUGGAUAACCUACCUAUAAGACUGGGAUAACUUCGGGAAACCGGAGCUAAUACCGGAUAAUAUAUUGAGCCGCAUGGUUCAAUAGUGAAAGACGGUUUUACUGUCACUUAUAGAUGGAUCCGCGCCGCAUUAGCUAGUUGGUAAGGUAACGGCUUACCAAGGCAACGAUGCGUAGCCGACCUGAGAGGGUGAUCGGCCACACUGGAACUGAGACACGGUCCAGACUCCUACGGGAGGCAGCAGUAGGGAAUCUUCCGCAAUGGGCGAAAGCCUGACGGAGCAACGCCGCGUGAGUGAUGAAGGUCUUCGGAUCGUAAAACUCUGUUAUUAGGGAAGAACAAAUGUGUAAGUAACUAUGCACGUCUUGACGGUACCUAAUCAGAAAGCCACGGCUAACUACGUG